rnacentral:rRNA from 1 species
GAAUAUUGGACAAUGGGGGCAACCCUGAUCCAGCAAUGCCGCGUGAGUGAAGAAGGCCUUCGGGUUGUAAAGCUCUUUUAUCAGGGACGAUAAUGACGGUACCUGAGGAAUAAGCUCCGGCUAACUUCGUGCCAGCAGCCGCGGUAAUACGAAGGGAGCUAGCGUUGUUCGGAAUUACUGGGCGUAAAGGGCGCGUAGGCGGUAAGAUAAGUCAGAUGUGAAAGCCUUGGGCUUAACCUGAGAACUGCAUUUGAUACUGUCUAACUAGAGGACGAGAGAGGAAAGUGGAAUUACGAGUGUAGAGGUGAAAUUCGUAGAUAUUCGUAAGAACACCAGUGGCGAAGGCGACUUUCUGGCUCGUUUCUGACGCUAAGGCGCGAAAGCGUGGGGAGCAAACAG